UCUUCAUUUCACAUACUCUCUCGCUUCUCUGGCCGAUGAAAGAGCCUGUGAAAUCAAGAGA
rnacentral:pre_miRNA from 1 species